rnacentral:rRNA from 1 species
CCUACGGGCGGCAGCAGUGGGGAAUAUUGCGCAAUGGGCGAAAGCCUGACGCAGCGACGCCGCGUGAGGGAUGAAGGUCUUCGGAUCGUAAACCUCUGUCAGCAGGGAAGAACGGUCACUGUGCUAAUCAGCAGUGAAUUGACGGUACCUGAGGAAUAAGCCACGGCUAACUACGUGCCAGCAGCCGCGGUAAUACGUAGGUGGCAAGCGUUAUCCGGAUUUACUGGGUGUAAAGGGCGUGUAGGCGGGACUGCAAGUCAGAUGUGAAAACCCCGGGCUUAACCUGGGAACCGCAUAUGUGACUGCUUGGCUAGAGUGCGUCAGAGGGAGGUGGAAUUCCACGUGUAGCAGUGAAAUGCGUAGAUAUGUGGAAGAACACCGAUGGCGAAGGCAGCCUCCUGGGACGCAACUGACGCUCAUACACGAAAGCGUGGGGAGCAAACAGGAUUAGAUACCCUUGUAGUC